rnacentral:rRNA from 1 species
UAGGGAAUCUUCGGCAAUGGACGAAAGUCUGACCGAGCAACGCCGCGUGAGUGAAGAAGGUUUUCGGAUCUUAAAACUCUGUUGUUAGAGAAGAACAAGGACGUUAGUAACUGAACGUCCCCUGACGGUAUCUAACCAGAAAGCCACGGCUAACUACGUGCCAGCAGCCGCGGUAAUACGUAGGUGGCAAGCGUUGUCCGGAUUUAUUGGGCGUAAAGCGAGCGCAGGCCGUUUCUUAAGUCUGAUGUGAAAGCCCCCGGCUCAACCGGGGAGGGUCAUUGGAAACUGGGAGACUUGAGUGCAGAAAAGGAGAGUGGAAUUCCAUGUGUAGCGGUGAAAUGCGUAGAUAUAUGGAGGAACACCAGUGGCGAAGGCGGCUCUCUGGUCUGUAACUGACGCUGAGGCUCGAAAGCGUGGGGAGCAAACAGG